AUUGAACGCUAGCGGGAUGCCUUACACAUGCAAGUCGAACGGAGUGGCGAACGGGUGAGUAAUGUAUCGGAACGUGCCCAGUAGCGGGGGAUAACACUUGGAAACAGGUGCUAAUACCGCAUACUAUUGGAGCGGCCGAUAUCGGAUUAGCUAGUUGGUGGGGUAACGGCUCACCAAGGCGACGAUCCGUAGCUGGUUUGAGAGGACGACCAGCCACACUGUGACUGAGACACGGCCCAGACUCCUCCGUGCGGCAGCAUGGGGGAAUUUUGGCCAAUGGGUGAAACCCUGAUCCAGCCAUCCCGCGUGUGCGAUGAAGGCCUUCGGGUUGUAAAGCACUUUUGGCAGGAAAGCGGUACCUGCAGAAUAAGCACCGGCUAACUACGUGCCAGCAGCCGCGGUAAUUC
rnacentral:rRNA from 1 species